rnacentral:pre_miRNA from 14 species
CAUUCGAGUUUCCGGGGGUCACGCUCCAAUCCCGGACGAGCCCCCACCUGAAAGAACCCCAAAAUUUGGGGAGAAUCCCGCUCCAAUCUCGGGAUGGCGGCGUGCCCCAAGAAACUCGAGAAGCC